AAUAGAUACCCGGGUAGUCCACGCCGUAAACGAUGAGUGCUAAGUGUUAGGGGGUUUCCGCCCCUUAGUGCUGCAGCUAACGCAUUAAGCACUCCGCCUGGGGAGUACGGCCGCAAGGCUGAAACUCAAAGGAAUUGACGGGGGCCCGCACAAGCGGUGGAGCAUGUGGUUUAAUUCGAAGCAACGCGAAGAACCUUACCAGGUCUUGACAUCCUCUGACAACUCUAGGGAUAGAGCGUUCCCCUUCGGGGGACAGAGUGACAGGUGGUGCAUGGUUGUCGUCAGCUCGUGUCGUGAGAUGUUGGGUUAAGUCCCGCAACGAGCGCAACCCUUGAUCUUAGUUGCCAGCAUUCAGUUGGGCACUCUAAGGUGACUGCCGGUGACAAACCGGAGGAAGGUGGGGAUGACGUCAAAUCAUCAUGCCCCUUAUGACCUGGGCUACACACGUGCUACAAUGGACGGUACAAAGAGUCGCAAGACCGCGAGGUGGAGCUAAUCUCAUAAAACCGUUCUCAGUUCGGAUUGCAGGCUG
rnacentral:rRNA from 1 species